rnacentral:rRNA from 1 species
UAGGGAAUCUUCGGCAAUGGACGAAAGUCUGACCGAGCAACGCCGCGUGAGUGAAGAAGGUUUUCGGAUCGUAAAACUCUGUUGUUAGAGAAGAACAAGGACGUUAGUAACUGAACGUCCCCUGACGGUAUCUAACCAGAAAGCCACGGCUAACUACGUGCCAGCAGCCGCGGUAAUACGUAGGUGGCAAGCGUUGUCCGGAUUUAUUGGGCGUAAAGCGAGCGCAGGCGGUUUCUUAAGUCUGAUGUGAAAGCCCCCGGCUCAACCGGGGAGGGUCAUUGGAAACUGGGAAGCUUGAGUGCAGAAGAGGAGAGUGGAAUUCCAUGUGUAGCGGUGAAAUGCGUAGAUAUAUGGAGGAACACCAGUGGCGAAGGCGGCUCUCUGGUCUGUAACUGACGCUGAGGCUCGAAAGCGUGGGGAGCAAACAGG